UAGUCAGGAUAUUGUUUUUCCUCUUCAUCACACAACACAAAUCAAAGCUGAAAGAACGAAAAUUAUCCGAAAGUAGAGGAGAAAGUUGGAAAAGGGGGCUAUUGUUGCUUCCUCUCUGUAAUUGGAGGAGAAAUUUGACAAGUAUCUUGGUUGGUCAACUUGGAGGAAAAGUGACCCUGCAACUGGUGCUUGCAGCCAUUGAGGUGAUUCCAGUCAAUCUUGCCGAGUUGUUGAUAAACACAUGAGAAUCUUUCAAUUAAAGGAAAAAGACUUAUCUUAGAUUCAGAGCCAAAUAAUGAGAAUUGUAGAGAGUAACGGGGAAAACUUCAAAGACAUCUUCAUUCUGAAGAAGAACAUGGGACAAUGCUUGCAAUACUAUUGUUAUGAUUCUGAACAUUUUGAGCCGGUAUAUUUGUCUUUUGUUUUUUUUAUGUUUCCUACAUAUGUAUAGAAGACAAAUCUAAUGUUAGAUAUUCAGCUUGGUAGUUUUUUAUUAGUUGAGCUUGUCAUUUUCAAUCACUAAUUUUCUAUUGAGAUCAG